rnacentral:lncRNA from 1 species
AUGUUCCAUUUGACCUGGAGGAAUAGAGAGAAUCCUGACAUUGAGGUCAUGAAACUGUGCUUUGGAAUUUCUGCCCAGAGCCUUGUAAACUGCAAUUUGUACGCUGGUAAGAAAAACCUGGCAGAGGAGUUAGGAUGCCAUUACCAUUUGAAAAGAGGCAAUCAUAAGGCGCUUCUGAGCCCUUUGUCCACUGAAAAUGCUGAUUUGCAGGCGGUGAGUGAAAAAGUGGAACCGCCACUGAAUAAAACCUUGAGCUAG